UGGAGGAAACUCUGAYGCAGCCAUGCCGCGUGAAGUGAAUGAAUGCCCUAAUGGGUUGUAAACUGCUUUUAUAUGGGAAKAAAUGAUGGAUACGUGUAUWUAUUGACGGUACCAUACGAAUAAGGACCGGCUAACUCCGUGCCRGCRGCCGCGGUAAUACGGAGGGUCCAGACGUUUAUCCGGAUUCAUYGGGUUUAAAGGGUUCGUAGGCGGAUAAAUAAGUCAGUGGUGAAAUCCCGAAGCUCACACUUCGAACUGCCWUUGAAACAUGUUUAUCUUGAAUUUAGUUGAAGUGGGCGGAAUAUGACAUGUAGCGGUGAAAUGCAUAGAUAUGUCAUGGAACACCAAUUGCGAAGGCAGCUCACUAAGCUAAUAUUGACGCUGAUGAACGAAAGCAUGGGUA
rnacentral:rRNA from 1 species